GCCUGGGUGGCUCAGUGGGUUAAAGCCUCUGCCUUCAGCUCAGGUCAUGAUCCCAGGGUCCUGGGAUCGAGCCCCACCUCGGGCU
rnacentral:tRNA from 1 species